rnacentral:lncRNA from 1 species
UAUUACAUUCAUUGAUGAGAAAUAUGAAUACGUACAAAAUAGAGAACAUAGUGCAUUUAUUUGGGCCUUAAUAAAAUCUCAACCUGAUCCAAAGAAAGAGUGUGUCGUCGUGCCAAGAUUACAUAAGAUGGAUAUCCUCGAAUAAUGUGGCUACCUUCGCUCAAACCAAACCUAAUCCAAACAAUUAAUUAUAUCCUAAUUUUAUGUAAAUGAAAAACAAGGAAAAGCAAGUUUGCUUUUCCCAUACAUGUAAUGCAUACACAGCCAAAAAUGAUUCCUUUUUAGUUUUUUAAUUUUAUUUCUCCUAUUUCUAUAAGCAUACAGACAAAUCCUUUACCCAACAACGUCGAUACAUCCAACCCUGCCAUCCUCCAUCGGAGCAUGCCCAUCACUUGUCACUUGUGGACUGUAUGUUGUCAGUCAAGAAAAAUUUUAAUCGACGGCCACGAUGCGCCCAAAGUGCCUUCUCGUUCUCGUCGUCGUCAUCCUUCCUCUGGCUGCCGCCCGUAUCACAAUCCUUGUCGGCGGUUGGAAGUUCAUCGUGGCCAUAGAUGAGCAAAGUAUGCAUUAUGUAUUGCUAAUGAUUCAAGUCUCCUAACAUCAUUCUGAUUAUUGGUCUCAUCCAGGAUGCUUUGUAAUUGUGAUUGCAAUCAAUCUGUCGGUUAUUCCUAAAAAAAGUAAAGAGUCACAAAUGAAGAAAAAUAUCAAAACAAAUUAGUAAUUAGACCAUGCCGUAAAUAUAUCAAGAAAGCAAUGGCGAAAGAAAUCCCUGCACGACCCAAUAUGGACAGUAAUAUCCAGGAUAACACAAGUCAAUACCUAACCUUCCAUAUAUGCCAAACCCUUUACCUUACUGCCCGUUAUGCACAUCCAAAACCUCUAUUAUCUUGCCA